rnacentral:lncRNA from 1 species
AUUCCAAAUUCCAAAUUUGUUACCCAAUGGGAUUCUUUCACAAAGGGGAACUCUAAUCAUGUAUCACCGGAGCCUCUGCAGAUGACAAAUAUAAUUCACAUACCGGACUGGUUAAUCAUUGAGGUGUAUGGAGAGAAGGGAACCUUCCUUUCAUUUGAACUGACUGAUAUGAGGAAGGAUCUCAUUUAAUUCUCUCAAUAGUUCCUUAAGGCAGGUAUCAUCAUCAACAUCAUCAUCAUCAUCAUCAUCAUCAUCAUCUUCAUCAUCAUCAUCAUUCCCAUUUUUCAGAUGAUAAAAUUGUCACAGAGAUGUGAAGUCACUUGGUCAAAGUUACACAGCUAGUGAAGAUGAUCUUUCCACAUCUAGUGGUCUUUCCAUACUAUCUACCAUUACAAAGGCAGCAAGCUUCAGCUGACCCAAAGGUACCCAGUUAGAAAGUGACAGCAUCAGAAUUAGAACCCAGAUCCCCUAACUGCAAAAUCAUUACUGCUCUUCAGCACACCUCAAGGCAUAUGCCUACCACUUAUAAAUUCUGUUUAGAUCUGAUUUUAUGUGGUAGAGGCAUGGAGAGAGAGAGGACUUGUAAGUCAAGCAUGCAAGAAACAAGCUGGGGACCUGAUCUGCAAAGUCAAGGAGAAGGUUCCAAAUGGAAUGUUCGCAGGAGGAGGAGGCAGGUGAGCUGGCCAGUAGAAACUGAGAAACCUCUGCUCUCUCUGGGGUUGACUGAUCAAGAAAGGAGGCAAGCCUGGCUGUAGGGGGAAGAAGCUGAGAACUAAUAUUAUUAACGUCUGUCCCAGACUGAAGGAGCCUUGGGGGGGGCUUCUCUAAUUAGGCUGAGAGACCUUGGUGGCUUUGUGGAGAAGAAAAGAAGAAUAGCAGUUGUCCUCCAUCUUUCUGACUGUCACCCUGUCACCACAGUUGUGACUGGACUGAUUUCCCAAACCCUCAAAUUCUCCUUAUAGUUUAGGGAAACCCUUAUCCCUCUUUCCUCAGUUCUCUAUCCUGUUGUUUUCCAAUAAACUUUACCUGAGAAAGAAAACA